AGUGAACGCUGGCGGUAGGCCUAACACAUGCAAGUCGAACGGCAGCACAGUAAGAGCUUGCUCUUACGGGUGGCGAGUGGCGGACGGGUGAGGAAUACAUCGGAAUCUACUUUUUCGUGGGGGAUAACGUAGGGAAACUUACGCUAAUACCGCAUACGACCUACGGGUGAAAGCAGGGGAUCUUCGGACCUUGCGCGAUUGAAUGAGCCGAUGUCGGAUUAGCUAGUCGGCGGGGUAAAGGCCCACCAAGGCGACGAUCCGUAGCUGGUCUGAGAGGAUGAUCAGCCACACUGGAACUGAGACACGGACCAGACUCCUACGGGAGGCAGCAGUGGGGAAUAUUGGACAAUGGGCGAAAGCCUGAUCCAGCAAUACCGCGUGGGUGAAGAAGGCCUUCGGGUUGUAAAACCCUGUUGUUGGGGAAGAAAAGCAGCAGGUUAAUACCCCGCUGUUCUGACGGUACCCAAAGAGUAAGCACCGGCUAACUUCGUG
rnacentral:rRNA from 1 species